GAUGAACGCUGGCGGCGUGCCUAAUACAUGCAAGUCGAGCGAACAGACGAGGAGCUUGCUCCUCUGACGUUAGCGGCGGACGGGUGAGUAACACGUGUAUAACCUACCUAUAAGACUGGGAUAACUUCGGGAAACCGGAGCUAAUACCGGAUAACAUGUUGAACCGCAUGGUUCAACAGUGAAAGACGGUCUUGCUGUCACUUAUAGAUGGAUCCGCGCUGCAUUAGCUAGUUGGUAAGGUAACGGCUUACCAAGGCAACGAUGCGUAGCCGACCUGAGAGGGUGAUCGGCCACACUGGAACUGAGACACGGUCCAGACUCCUACGGGAGGCAGCAGUAGGGAAUAUUCCGCAAUGGGCGAAAGCCUGACGGAGCAACGCCGCGUGAGUGAUGAAGGUCUUCGGAUCGUAAAACUCUGUUAUUAGGGAAGAACAAAUGUGUAAGUAACUAUGCACGUCUUGACGGUACCUAAUCAGAAAGCCACGGCUAACUACGUG
rnacentral:rRNA from 1 species